AUUGGACGACGACAAAAGGGAGGAGUCCCUUAGUGAUGAAAAAAUGGUGAGUUUUUCCGUCACAAUGUUUGUGCAGAGAAACUGAAAUUGGCUUUUUGGAAAUCACAAUUUCAUGAAAUUAAGCUCAAACUUGGGAUCAUCAAUCAAAUUCAUUACAGAUUUCAGUCAAACACCAUUAAACAAACAGAUUCACAGCUCAAAUUUCUUUAAAAUAGCCAUCAGAUCUAUUGAAAUCGAUCAAUUUCAGUAUCAUUUUAUUAAAAAGCAGUUCCCUUUCAUCGUCGGCCUUCACUGCUGCCAUAGUAAUGUGGUUUAUUACAACCUUGGUUUCGAUGUGAUUCUGUAUUGCGAGAUCUCUGCAUCUAGAGUUCGAUUGCUCAGAGAGAAAUGGGUUCGAUUUAUCGAAAGGUGUGGACUGGAUUUAAGCCAAGUAAUCAGCGAGAAGAGCCAGGAGAUGCACGUGCUAAUUAAUUCGAGUUCCUACAACAACGAGAGUGGAUCUGUGGUGUUUUGGGGUCGAUUGUUUUGACCUAAAAUAGGUGUUGAAUAGCGAGUAGAUGGGUUUGCUGCUGAUGGAGAUGUUCAUGAUUUCAACACUUCUCAAUCUCAACUGAGCUCGAAUUUUCUCUCACCAUCAACAACAACAUUAGUACAUGGAGGCUUUGUUGAGCCGAAAUUCAGGUGAAAACGAGUUAGUCAGUGGCUGGUUGCAAUGGGUUUAGUGUCGGUGGUUAAUUGCGAGCAUCAAAGAAGUAAUGGAGACUGAUUUGAAGUCUGCCAUAAAAUCUAAGCUAGGGUUUUAGUGAUGGAUCUGUAGGGUACUAAUGUGUUCUGAAAAUUAGUGUUGCUGCCAUGAAAUGUUCACUGUAUGCGAAAGAUUGAGAGAAGGGUACCGCAGUUGAAAUCAAUUGUGAACUGGCCAUUGUUUAAAGAUCAGAUUGGGGGUUCUUCGCAUCAAUUCAAGUUGGGAGUUCUCAUGUGGGUUUUUUCUGGAAUGCUUAUAUGAUGGUGAUGUAUUUAGGCUGCUGGUAUCAAUUGAAUCAGAAUAAGUAGAAGACCUAUUCAUUACAAGCGGAUGGUGGUGGUUGUCUACAGAUGUGAAUGAGAACAGAUUUGGGGCUAAACAGUUCGUGGGAUAUUGCACAUCAACUGUUUACUGCCAUCAAUUCAUGGCUGUAUGGAGCUCGGUUGGGAGCUGAUUAAGCUAAAGAAUUGCAGUCAGUGGUGGCAAUGUACAGUUGUAGCCGAGAAUGGAGAUGAAAUCGAACUGAAACAACAACAAUGGAGUUGGGGGUUUUCUGUGGUGUCUUGGGUGAUUGCUGGAGUAAGUAGUGUUGCAGCCAAGAAGCUGGUGGAUGGUUGAAUUGGUGUUGCUGGUAGAAGGGAGAAGAGGUACUGUGCUAUGUAUAUAUGUUGGCUGAUUUGAAUUUGUGCUGGUGAUGAUUGUUUGGGUUUUUGCCAAAAUUUGGAGUUGGUCUGGAGAUGCAAUGAAGAAUGAAUUGGCUGCAAGCAAUGUGCUUAUGAUGUUGGGGUCAGUUUAACAAGGAAGUGGAGAUUUAGAAGCACAGAAGAUGGGCUGCCGUGGUUGGAUGAAGCUUAAGUAGAUGAUCAAAAAAUGAUAGUUGGGGCAGAGAUUAAGAAGUGGUGCCCAGGCAGACAGAAUAUGGAGUUGCUUACUGUGGCCGAACCUUGGAGAGGGCCUGGAUUUGGCAAUUGGUGUUCAUGGCCCGGCUGGACUUUGGUCGUUGUUGUCACCAAUACAAGAAAAGAACUAGAGUGCUAUAUAAGGAAGGAAUGAGGAGAAGAAAAGGGAGGCCGGAUACAGGGAAGAAAAUGAGGUUUUAGCCAUUUUGAUUUCUGCUAUCAUAUGCUUAGGUUAACAAUCUCUAUAUCAUUUUUUAUGGCUUUGAACGAAACCAUGUCUAGCUAAGCUACUCAUUAGGGUGAAGGAUGAACUUGUAGGUUAAAGUGCUUGUGUUCUUAAACAAUGGUUUCAAAAAUAAGAUCUUAAAUUCCAUGUUUGUGUUUCUCAAAAGAGGCUGAUUGUUUUAUGGGUUUUUCAUGUUUUAUGCCUUGUAUACUACAUAGUUGGAUUCUAGAACAUUAGUCCAUAUAUAACCUUGAUAACAAUUGCUUUAUGAUCAUUUCCAAGACUAUGUAUGCCAUGUAUGCUUAGUACUAGGGAUGUCUACCUUCUAGGUUGAGAACAAACAAUCUUUUAUGAUAACUUGUCUAUAAAUCCUAAACGAAAUAUCUUCCGUGUGUUAGUAGCUAGGUUUGCAACUUCGCACGAGUAAAUUCGAGACCUUGUGAUAGAACAUAAGUAAAUAUAGCUUAUAACGGAUUAUGUAGCCCUAAUACUCCCUUAUUCUCGAUUACAAUCUUUAUAAAUUUGUUUUAUAUUGCUAGUUAGAUUAUUUUCUUAGUACAACAAUCUCUGAAAUAUUGCAUCUUGAUUAGUUAGGUCUUGAUAUUAAUUAGUAGUAGUUUUCGCACUCCUUGAGGGAACGAACCGUGCUUGCUUUUGUGUGCUAUUUUUGACUCCGUACACUUGCGGUAAAACAAAGUCGGUCUACCGACCCAUCAAGUUUUUGGCGCCGCUGCCGGGGAGUGGCUGUAAAGUACUCUCUGAUUGAUAUCAUUGAUUUUCUAGUCGUAGAUUAGUUUUUAUUUUCUGUACAUAGUUUAUUUUCGUUUUUCUUUUAGAUUUCUUUUAAUUCCAUUUUACGUAGCUUGUUUGAUUAUCUUUAGGUACCUUAGUUUGAAGAGCGCAGUUGGAAUCUCUCCAAAACAGGCAGAAAAGUAAGUAUCUGAAAUCCUCGCGAGGCUUUGCAAGGUGAAUUUGAACUGAAUUAUGCAUUUUUUUAGCAUAUGCAAGAUCUACCAAGUAGUUGGGAUAGAAAACAAUUAUUCAUCUUGUUAAAGUAACCGUUUAUACAUGAUGAGAACAGAUGAUGAGGGUACGAACCCUCCGGUUAAAAGUUUGAGAGACUAUAUGUACCCUACUAGAGUCUCUCAACUUUCUUGUAUUAUUUUGCCUACCGCCACAACAACCUAUGAAAUUAGAGCAAGCGCCAUUCAAGCACUUCCUAAUUUCUAUGGUAAGGAGAAUGAAAAUCCUUACUACCACAUUAGAGAUUUUGAAGAAUUGUGUGGUAGAAUGAAGUUCAAGGACUUAUCUGAUGAGUUUCUUAAACUUAGGUUGUUUCCUUUGUCUUUGAAGGAUAAGGCAAAAUCUUGGCUGAAUGCAUUAUCUCCUUCAUCAAUUAGUACUUGGAAUGACAUGAUUAAUAUAUUCUUGCAUAAAUUCUUUCCUAGGCAUAAAACUACUGCCAUUCGUCAAAAAUUAUAUAGUUUUUCGCAACAAGAAGGAGAAUGUCUUUAUGAUUAUUUAGAGAGGUUUCAUGAUCUCUUGUUACAAUGUCCACACCAUGGAUUGGAUACUCCUAGGCUCAUAUCGAUCCUUUAUGAGGGAUUAGAUUACAAAACAGUGACUACGGUAGAAUCACUUUGUAGUGGGAAUUUCCUUGAUAAGAGUGCCGAAGAAGGUUACAAAAUUUUGCAUGAAAUAGCUGGAAAAAUCCAAGAGUGGGAGGCUAGAGAACCCAUAAGAUCAGUAGCUAGUAGUGAAGGGGUUCACAUAGUUGAUAAUGAAUUCGACUAUGAGGCCAAGUUUUCCAUUUUGACACGACGACUUGAGUCGUUAGAAAGAAAUGCUAAAGUCAAGCCUGUUGAGUGUAUUACGCAUGCAUCUUCUAUUCCUAGUGAUUGUACUAAUCAAAGAAUUCCUAGUUUGGAAGAAAGUAUGAGUUUGUUUAUGCAGGCUACUCAAAGAUAUAUGGUGAACUUACAGCAACAGCUAAAUGAGCUAGCCAACCAACUGAAUGAGCGAGACAAGGAUCAGUUCCAGAGUCAAAUACAGCCUCACCCUAAAGGUUCUUUUGAGGUAAGCACAUCUGGUGCUAAGCCAACUCAUCAUGUCCAGGCCGUCACUACUCUCAGAAGUGGAUGAGUCAUUGAUAAUCAUGUUAGUGAUGCUGAGGAGAAUGUGCAAGAUAGGAACCUGCCUACCAUUACACAGGUUACUCCUUCAACACAAACAGAAACCGAUGAAACCGAAAAAGGUAAUUCUGAAAUUUCUUAUGUUCCUCGCGCUCCUUUUCCUCAAGCAUUACUACCUCGUAAAAAAGGAGUCAGUUCUAAUGACAUCUUAGAAGUGUUUAAACAAGUUAACGUCAACAUUCCAAUCUUAGGUGUCAUUAAACAAAUUCCUUCUUAUGCUAAGUUUCUAAGAGAUAUGUGCACUGUGAAACGAAAAUUGAAUGUGCAUAAGAAAGCUUUCCUUACUGAACAGGUGAGCUCGAUUAUUACACAGAAAACUCCACCCAAAUUUAAAGAUCCAGGUUGUCCUACGAUUGCUUGCACUAUAGGUGAACAUAGGAUUGAACAUGCAUUGUUAGAUUUAGGGGCCAGUGUGAAUCUCUUGCCAUAUUCUGUAUAUGUGCAAUUAGAACUUGGUGAUUUGAAACCCACUAAUGUCACUCUCCAAUUGGCUGAUAGGUGAAUUAAAAUUCCUAGGGGAGUGGUAGAGGAUAUUCUUAUACAGGUUCAAAGUUUUGUUUAUCCCGUUGAUUUAAUUGUUUUAGAUACUCAACCUGUUUCUAAUCCUAGUGGGAAGAUUCUUGUCAUCUUAGGUAGACCUUUUUUGGCUACCUCGAAUGCGGUUAUCAACUGUCGCAAUGGAAUCAUGGAGCUUACUUUUGGAAAUAUGAAAAUGGAGAUAAAUGUUUAUCCUUUCAAAUUCGUCUGUGAUUUCUGAAACUUGUGAAGAUGUAUGCAUGGUUAAUGGUGUGAAUGAUUAUACUCACUGUUAUAAUGAGAAUCUCGAAAACAUGUCUGAAAACUUUGCAGGUUGUAAGGAGUUAACAAAAAUUGAAUCAUCAGAUAUUUGCUCAUCUUGUUUUGCCAAGCCUGAUGAACUAGUUUUUCGUGAGACUAGUAGUAGUUAUCAAGAUGCUUAUAUAAGUGUGAAACAUAUGGAUACUGGUCAGUUAAUUCACAAUAAGAAAUUAGAACCAAGAAUUGUUUGCUUAGCUCCUUUUGCCAAGUCCUAUGAUCUUGUGCUUAUUGACAUUGUUAGUACAUUGCUCCCUCUUAAUCUAAAACCCAAUUGGGAGUCUCCACUGGGAAUCAAAAUUGGUAAACAUUCUGAACUUAUUGUUUAUGGGAGUGAGUUAUUUAUGGAUUCACAUAUCUUUUUGGGUGUUUAUAGUGUUUGCAGGUUCAUAGUUGCAGCUGAACUUGUGUGUUGGGUUGAUCCCCAGCUUUUCAGGCUUUACAUAUAUGCUGGCAGGUUGCUGUUAUGCAUCAUUAUUCACUUCGUUUGAGAUUACUUGUUGCGCGCAAGCAGGGAACAUACAUCAUUCGCUUUGUGGGAGUCAAACCAUCACUGUGGAGCGGGUCUAUUUUUUUUGUUUU